UACGUAGGGUGCAGGCGUUAAUCGGAAUUACUGGGCGUAAAGCGUGCGCAGGCGGUUUGCUAAGACAGGUGUGAAAUCCCCGGGCUUAACCUGGGAACUGCGCUUGUUACUGGCAGGCUUGAGUGUGGCAGAGGGGGGUGGAAUUCCACGUGUAGCAGUGAAAUGCGUAGAUAUUGGGAGGAACACCAGUGGCGAAGGCGGCUCGCUGGACCGGUUCUGACGCUGAUGCGCGAAAGCGUGGGGGGCAAACGGG
rnacentral:rRNA from 1 species